UACAGAGGUCCCAAGCGUUGUUCGGAUUCACUGGGCGUAAAGGGAGCGUAGGUGGUUAGGUAAGCCCUCCGGGAAAUCUUCAGGCUUAACCUGAAAAGGUCGGGGGGACUGCCUGGCUAGAGGACGGGAGAGGAGCGCGGAAUUCCCGGUGUAGCGGUGAAAUGCGUAGAUAUCGUAAGGAAGACCAGUGGCGAAGGCGGGUCUCUGGACAGUUCCUGACGCUGAGGCACGAAGGCCAGGGGAGCAAACGGG
rnacentral:rRNA from 1 species